AUUGAACGCUGGCGGCAUGCCUUACACAUGCAAGUCGAACGGCAGCACGGGUGCUUGCCCCUGGUGGCGAGUGGCGAACGGGUGAGUAAUACAUCGGAACAUGUCCUGUAGUGGGGGAUAGCCCGGCGAAAGCCGGAUUAAUACCGCAUACGAUCUACGGAUGAAAGCGGGGGACCUUCGGGCCUCGCGCUAUAGGGUUGGCCGAUGGCUGAUUAGCUAGUUGGUGGGGUAAAGGCCUACCAAGGCGACGAUCAGUAGCUGGUCUGAGAGGACGACCAGCCACACUGGGACUGAGACACGGCCCAGACUCCUGCGGGAGGCAGCAGUGGGGAAUUUUGGACAAUGGGCGAAAGCCUGAUCCAGCAAUGCCGCGUGUGUGAAGAAGGCCUUCGGGUUGUAAAGCACUUUUGUCCGGAAAGAAAUCCUUGGCCCUAAUACGGUCGGGGGAUGACGGUACCGGAAGAAUAAGCACCGGCUAACUACGUG
rnacentral:rRNA from 1 species